UACGUAGGGGGCAAGCGUUGUCCGGAAUUAUUGGGCGUAAAGGGCACGCAGGCGGUGAUUUAAGUUUGGUGUUUAAUCCCAGGGCUCAACCCUGGUACGCACUGAAAACUGGGUCACUUGAGUGCAGAAGAGGAGAGUGGAAUUCCGCGUGUAGCGGUGAAAUGCGUAGAUAUGUGGAGGAACACCAGUGGCGAAGGCGACUCUCUGGUCUGUAACUGACGCUGAGGUGCGAAAGCGUGGGGAGCGAACAGG
rnacentral:rRNA from 1 species